rnacentral:rRNA from 1 species
UGCUCUUUCCGGAAUUGAGUGGCAAACGGGUGAGUAACACGUAAACAACCUGCCUUCAGGAUGGGGACAACAGACGGAAACGACUGCUAAUACCGAAUAAGUUCCAAGAGCCGCAUGGCCAUGGAAGAAAAGGUGGCCUCUACCUGUAAGCUAUCGCCUGAAGAGGGGUUUGCGUCUGAUUAGCUGGUUGGAGGGGUAACGGCCCACCAAGGCGACGAUCAGUAGCCGGUCUGAGAGGAUGAACGGCCACACUGGAACUGAGACACGGUCCAGACUCCUACGGGAGGCAGCAGUGGGGAAUCUUCCGCAAUGGGCGAAAGCCUGACGGAGCAACGCCGCGUGAGUGAUGACGGCCUUCGGGUUGUAAAACUCUGUGAUCCGGGACGAAAAGGCAGAGUGCGAAGAACAAACUGCAUUGACGGUACCGGAAAAGCAAGCCACGGCUAACUACGUGCCAGCAGCCGCGGUAAUACGUAGGUGGCAAGCGUUGUCCGGAAUUAUUGGGCGUAAAGCGCGCGCAGGCGGCUUCCCAAGUCCCUCUUAAAAGUGCGGGGCUUAACCCCGUGAUGGGAAGGAAACUGGGAAGCUGGAGUAUCGGAGAGGAAAGUGGAAUUCCUAGUGUAGCGGUGAAAUGCGUAGAGAUUAGGAAGAACACCGGUGGCGAAGGCGACUUU